rnacentral:rRNA from 1 species
GACGUAGGGCGCGAGCGUUGUCCGGAAUUAUUGGGCGUAAAGAGCUCGUAGGCGGUCUGUCACGUCGGCUGUGAAAACCCGAGGCUCAACCUCGGGCCUGCAGUCGAUACGGGCAAACUAGAGUACUGCAGGGGAGACUGGAAUUCCUGGUGUAGCGGUGAAAUGCGCAGAUAUCAGGAGGAACACCGGUGGCGAAGGCGGGUCUCUGGGCAGUAACUGACGCUGAGGAGCGAAAGCGUGGGGAGCGAACAGG